ensembl:misc_RNA Metazoa_SRP Metazoan signal recognition particle RNA
GCCGGGUGUGGUGGUGGGCACCUGUAAUCCCAGCUACUCAGGAGGCUGAGGCAGGAGAAUCGCUUGAACCCAGGAGGCGGAGGUUGCAGUGAGCCGAGAUCGCACCACUGCACUCCAGCCUGGGUGACAGAGCAAGACUCUGUCUCAA